rnacentral:rRNA from 1 species
UACGUAGGGGGCAAGCGUUGUCCGGAUUUAUUGGGCGUAAAGAGCGUGUAGGCGGCUUUGCAAGUCCGUUGUGAAAACUCGAGGCUCAACCUCGAGACGCCGGUGGAAACUGCAAAGCUAGAGUCCGGAAGAGGAGAGUGGAAUUCCGUGGUGUAGCGGUGAAAUGCGCAGAUAUCAGGAAGAACACCCGUGGCGAAGGCGGCUCUCUGGGCUGACACUGAGGCACGAAAGCCGGGGGAGCAAACAGG